rnacentral:rRNA from 1 species
UACGUAGGGUGCAAGCGUUGUCCGGAAUUAUUGGGCGUAAAGAGCUCGUAGGCGGCUUGUCGCGUCGACCGUGAAAACUUGGGGCUCAACCCCAAGCCUGCUUCCGAUACGGGCAGACUAGAGGUAUGCAGGGGAGAACGGAAUUCCCGGUGUAGCGGUGAAAUGCGCAGAUAUCGGGAGGAACACCGGUGGCGAAGGCGGAUCUCUGGGCCAUUACUGACGCUGAGGAGCGAAAGCGUGGGGAGCGAACGAGG